rnacentral:rRNA from 1 species
GAUGAACGCUGGCGGCGCGCCUAAUACAUGCAAGUCGAGCGACGAAACCGAAGUGGGUAACCACUUCGGCUGAAAGCGGCGGACGGGUGAGUAACACGUGGGUAGCCUACCCGGAAGUGGGGAAUACCUCGGGGAAACUCGAGCUAAUACCGCAUGACAUCUUUGGGACGAAAGUCCUGACGAUCAAAGCGGGGUCGCAAGAUCUCGCGCUACCGGAUGGGCCCGCGCCCGAUUAGCUAGUUGGUGAGGUAACGGCUCACCAAGGCGACGAUCGGUAACCGGCCUGAGAGGGCGAUCGGUCACACCGGAACUGAGACACGGUCCGGACUCCUACGGGAGGCAGCAGUGGGGAAUCUUGCGCAAUGGGCGAAAGCCUGACGCAGCAACGCCGCGUGGAGGAUGAAGGCCCUUGGGUUGUAAACUCCUGUCGGCUGGGAAGAAGUUGUUCGCGACUAAUACUCGCGGACAUUGACUGUACCAGCAAAGGAAGCCCCGGCUAACUCUGUGCCAGCAGCCGC